rnacentral:lncRNA from 1 species
UGUAGAACUGUGCCUUCUAAGAGAAGUAAUUUGGAGCUUGUUUCAACUUUCAAGUACAUUAAGCUGCAAGGAAUUUUUGGAUUGUCUGUGCUGAACUACCUCACUGCUGUUGAUUCUUUCUUUGGUGGUACCUCAAGGUUUUGCUUCAGAUGUUGGCGUAUAUAUACUGAUUUUGUUGGAAAUCUGCUGGUCUUGGAUGCGGGUCUUCUUUACACGAUGCUAGUGGGUCUGUCUUCUGUUGGUUUGCGUGCCAAUUAUUGUAGUACUAGUCUUAUAGCUUGCUGAUAGUGUGUAAUUUAUGUUGUACAUGUACAUAAUUCGUACUAUAGCAAUCUUCCUACUCUUAGUGCUGGUAACUGUAAUUGUUUGAAGAUAGAUAUGGAUUACCUGAUUUUGUCUGGAAAGAGCUUUUGUUAAAGAUAUAUAUGAUUACUUGAUUCUGUCUGGAAAGAGCUCUUGUAACCUGUGAGCGGCAUUGCCAUAUUCCACACUUUUUGUAGAUCUAAUUCUUUUGUGCUUCUGUCUAUAGAAUAAUAUUUACCUCCUAAAAUUAUACUGCCUAAUAAUAUACCUCCUAAAAUUCUUUUGUUUAGAUAUAAUUUUACUGCCCAGUUCAAGGUCUUAAAUAAAAGUCAGGGGCCUCAAAGGUGCACUUUGGUCUGCAUCUCUCUGUGGGUUUGAUACUGUUAUCUUAGGUUCAUAAAUCAUAAUAGGUGCAAUAAUAUGUCAUUCGAGAAUUGCCUGCAUGGAUGCACUUGCAAUAAGGUUUGUCUCUACAGAAUAACAUAAUAAAAGAAAUUUCUUGUAGCAUAUCUGUACUCACGUCCAUCAAAAUUGAAAUUUAUCUGUGUUAAGUUAUUCAGAGCUUCAAGUCGUAUAACCAUGAUUUGUCAUCUGUGAAUGAUCAUUUUUUCCUUGUUGGUCUUAUUCUAUCCUUUAUUGUAGUUUAAUGUUAAACUAGUUCAGUAUGAAGCUUAACGUAAUGGUACUGUCAGAGAUAAUGUCUGCAUGUUUUGGCAAUCUUUAUGUUGCACGAUUUAUGUUGUCCAUUGUUUCAAUUUAUCAACUUUGGGGUGAUUAUAGUAAUUCAAAACAAUGUACUAUAUAGCUUAAUUUUUUUUUUCUGAUUUGAGACCUGCUGGCCUUGUACUUGUGUAGAAAAGGUGUGCUGGCAGAGUAAUUAUUUGCUUUGGUAGAUAUUCCUCAGAAAUUAUAUAACAUUAUUACUAAAAAAAAAUUAAUUGCACGAUUUUUUUAGAAUUUAUAUCUGUUCUGUAAAUUUUUAGCCUGUUUGUUUGUGUACAUUUAUUCUGUUCGACUUUAUUAAAAAAAUUGUAGGUGCCUUGGUUAAACUCUGAUACUCACUUAGAUGAUAUUUUCAUUUCAUUUCUUGUAAUUGUGUACCUCUUUCUCUUGUGGGGAACAAAGAUUGCAAAUAUGUGCAUCUGCUUGUGUUGUGUUGUGUGAAUUUAUAUAUCUUGGCAUCUUGGGUAUUAGUGUUAUGUUUCUUUUAACCUUGUGUUUUGCAUAGCAAGCUUUACUGGUCAGAUUUUGUGGUAGAGACAGAAAGUUUUGUUGUGAACUGUUGACAUGCUAAUGAGGGAGUUAAAUCAACAAUGGUGCUAUUUCUUGGUCUGUCUUUCUGAAGCUUCUUUUGAGCUGUGCUGGAACUUUUGAGUUGUCUGUGCUGUACUAGUCCUGUGCUGUUACUUGGUGGUACCUCAAGGUUCUAUUUCAGAUGUCGGUAUACUGCUUUUGUUGGAAACUCCUGAUCGUGACC